CUGUAACGGAGGUAGCAAAACAAUUAAAACCCUAACGAUCAAUGGAUCAACGCUAUUGACACAACCCAAAACAAUUAAAACCUAAACGAUGAAUGAAUCAACCCGAUUAACACAACCCAAAUGAUCCAAACCCGAACGGUCAAUGAAUCAACCCGAAUAUCACAACCCAAAACGAUCAAAACCCGAAAUCAUUAUCAACCCGAAAUCAAAACGGGAAAUUAGAAAUCUGGUGUUCAUUUUUCCAGCUUCAUACUAAACUGCAAAAACAUAAAGGAGCAAUUUGGGUGAAGAAGAAGAAUUACCCGAUUCCUUCUUCUUUCAUCAUCAUCAUCAAAACACAUUCCAGAAAAUCCAGAUCUUGUUGUGUUUUCCAUUCCUCAACAAUGCCUGUUGGAAAAUUGAUAGAAGUAGAGCCGCCAAGUCCAUUGAGAUACUUGAUCGGAGCAAUGGUGAUGAUGAUCGGCGUCGUAUUGCCGCUUGGUUACAUGAUGUUCCGCAAUAAGCGUGUUCCUUCUUCUCCUUCUUUCUCCAAACAGACGAACAAAGGGUUGAUAUAGAGCAAUUUUGAUGUUAGAAGUGAUUAUAGAUUUCGUCGGCGUGUUCAUUUGGGUAUGAAGAGUGACAUGAGUAAAAGGGUAAUGUAAUGCACGGACUGAUCCAUAUAGUGGCAAUGUAAAUGUAUGGUCAUAUGGAAUUGUUAAAUGUUUGUUAUAUAAGAAGUGUUCAUUGCACAAUAUUGAUGUAUUGCCGCCUUAUUGUUUCUUUAGCUUAAUUCGAAUUCAGUUAUAUGGAAUAUUGAUGACUCCCUUUGCCUUCUUAUAUUGAAUACGAAAAGGUUGACUAGACCGAUGUUGCUGCA